GAUGAACGCUGGCGGCGUGCCUAAUACAUGCAAGUCGAGCGAACGGACGAGAAGCUUGCUUCUCUGAUGUUAGCGGCGGACGGGUGAGUAACACGUGGAUAACCUACCUAUAAGACUGGGAUAACUUCGGGAAACCGUAGCUAAUACCGGAUAAUAUUUUGAACCGCAUGGUUCAAAAGUGAAAGACGGUCUUUCUGUCACUUAUAGAUGUAUCCGCGCUGCAUUAGCUAGUUGGUAAGGUAACGGCUUACCAAGGCAACGAUGCAUAGCCGAACUGAGAGGGUGAUCGGCAACACUGGAACUGAGACACGGUCCAGAGUACUACGGGAGGCAGCAGUAGGGAAUAUUCCGCAAUGGGCGAAAGCCUGACGGAGCAACGCCGCGUGAGUGAUGAAGGUCUUCGGAUCGUAAAACUCUGUUAUUAGGGAAGAACAUAUGUGUAAGUAACUGUGCACAUCUUGACGGUACCUAAUCAGAAAGCCACGGCUAACUACGUG
rnacentral:rRNA from 1 species